CUGCAGAGGGGACAGUGACCUCCAGCCCGGGGACUCCUGCCUCUCCCCUUUCCACCACAGCCAUCAUAGUGGUCUUACUUCUAGCGUUCAUUCUGGUUGUGGCUGGGUUUGUUUGGAAGACUUCACUGUGGAGGAAAGUCCUUUCUUGCUUGAAAGGCAUCUGCUCAGGUGCUGGAGGGGAGCCUGAUCAUGUGGACAGAGUGAGUUGGUUUCUCCAAAACUGGGGGCAUCAUGGGUUCACGAAGUGCUUCUCAUCUACUGUGGAAUCUGGGUGGGCAGGAUCCCUUGUCCUCACAGUGGCCCUGAGUCUCUGACAUGGCCUGGGGGCUCCGGGCUGACUGUAGGGGACACAUGGUCAUUUUGAGCGCCAUACAGACCGGCCAGCUAUGCUGCAGCCCUGUCCCUCCUGCAGCCUGGGUGCCACCGUCAUACACAGCCUGCACCCUGGGGAUGGGGUGACCCACCUGCCCUGGACCUCAUUGGAAGGGGUUGGGGAUGGCAGGUCCACCUGUGUGCUGGGGACCCUGAAGCUGAGCCCUGGGUGUGGACUUGAGUGGGUGGUUUGCCUUCCAAAGGUCUUUUCCGGCAUUCAUGUCCCUCAUGAGGUCCUGAGGCUGAGGGCAAUGUCUGCAACGAGGACCUGAGCAACAGAGAAUCGCAGCACACCCAGGUCCCUGAGCAGGAAAUCGAAGGUCGGGAGCUGAGAGGGUCAACAGGUGUGACUGUACAGUCGCCAGAGGAGCCACAGCGUCUGCUGGUGAGCUGAGGAUGGACUGUGCCAUGCCUGGCCUGCUGCCUGCACAGGGCUUCAUAGACAGGGGCAGAGAGCAGUGCCUCUGCUCUCCUGGCCUAGGGGGACAUGGAACUUUUGGGAGACAGGAGACUGCAGGGGAUUGAGCAGCUGCAGUGAGGUGGCGACUGCACCAGUCUGCAGGACAUCUGCCUCUUACUCCCUGCCCUGUCCUUGCUGUGUCCCCAGAACCUGGAGCUCCACAGGCACAGAGUGGGGGUCACAGGGUUCGUUGAUGACUGAAUGAGGGCUGCAUGGUCUCCACUGUGUGCUCCUAACAACUCAGGGAGCCUCUGCUUGAAACAGCAGAAGCUUUAAAUUUACUCCAAAAUAAUUAUUACAUUGAACAUAUUUCAUAGUAAAUCUUCGUCCAGAUUUCUGAUCAAGUAUGGAAGGAGGUUUCCGGGAAGAAGUAGGAUUUCUGAGUCAGUGCAUAGAAGUGCUUUUGUAUCACACAAACACCCAUAUCCAGAUGUUCACAGCAGUUCAUCAGUUCUCUUACGAUAUUGAGUAGGUGUGAAAUCUGGACACAUAUUAUUUUUUUCAAGUGUCAAAAUUCUUUCCUUCAAGAUAAAACAAGAUGAUCCUAUCUAAUUUCUUAUGGACUUUUA